ACCGCCCCGCGCAAAAAAAAAAAAAAAAAAAAAAAAAAAAAAAAAAAAAAAAAAAAAAAAA
rnacentral:ribozyme from 13 species